rnacentral:rRNA from 1 species
GACGAACGCUGGCGGCGUGCCUAAUACAUGCAAGUCGAACGCUUCUUUCCUCCCGAGUGCUUGCACUCAAUUGGAAAGAGGAGUGGCGGACGGGUGAGUAACACGUGGGUAACCUACCCAUCAGAGGGGGAUAACACUUGGAAACAGGUGCUAAUACCGCAUAACAGUUUAUGCCGCAUGGCAUAAGAGUGAAAGGCGCUUUCGGGUGUCGCUGAUGGAUGGACCCGCGGUGCAUUAGCUAGUUGGUGAGGUAACGGCCCACCAAGGCCACGAUGCAUAGCCGACCUGAGAGGGUGAUCGGCCACACUGGGACUGAGACACGGCCCAGACUCCUACGGGAGGCAGCAGUAGGGAAUCUUCGGCAAUGGACGAAAGUCUGACCGAGCAACGCCGCGUGAGUGAAGAAGGUUUUCGGAUCGUAAAACUCUGUUGUUAGAGAAGAACAAGGACGUUAGUAACUGAACGUCCCCUCACGGUAUCUAACCAGAAAGCCACGGCUAACUACGUG